rnacentral:rRNA from 1 species
AGCAGCCGCGGUAAUUCCAGCUCCAAUAGCGUAUAUUAAAGUUGUUGCAGUUAAAAAGCUCGUAGUUGAAUUUCGGGAUUGGCGCAUCGGUCGUGCCUCACGGGGUAUGAACUGGUGCAGUCAAUUUCUCACCUUCUGGAGAACCGCGAUGUCCUUAAUUGGGUGCCGCGGGGAACCAGGACCUUUACUUUGAAAAAAUUAGAGUGUUUAAAGCAGGCAUUUUUGCUUGAAUACAUUAGCAUGGAAUAAUAAAAUAGGACGGCAUGGUUCUAUUUUGUUGGCUUCUAGGACCACCGUAAUGAUUAAUAGGGAUAGUUGGGGGCAUUAGUAUUCAAUUGUCAGAGGUGAAAUUCUUGGAUUUAUUGAAGACUAACUACUGCGAAAGCAUUUGCCAAGGAUGUUUUCAUUAAUCAAGAACGAAAGUUAGGGGAUCGAAGACGAUCAGAUACCGUCGUAGUCUUAACCAUAAACUAUGCCGACUAGGAAUCAGACGAUGUUAAUUUUUUAAUGACUCGUUUGGCACCUUACGG